AACGAACGCUGGCGGCAGGCUUAACACAUGCAAGUCGAGCGAGACCUUCGGGUCUAGCGGCGGACGGGUGAGUAACGCGUGGGAACGUGCCCUUCUCUACGGAAUAGCCCCGGGAAACUGGGAGUAAUACCGUAUACGCCCUUUGGGGGAAGGAUUUAUCGGAGAAGGAUCGGCCCGCGUUGGAUUAGGUAGUUGGUGGGGUAAUGGCCCACCAAGCCGACGAUCCAUAGCUGGUUUGAGAGGAUGAUCAGCCACACUGGGACUGAGACACGGCCCAGACUCCUACGGGAGGCAGCAGUGGGGAAUCUUAGACAAUGGGGGCAACCCUGAUCUAGCCAUGCCGCGUGAGUGAUGAAGGCCUUAGGGUUGUAAAGCUCUUUCAGCUGGGAAGAUAAUGACGGUACCAGCAGAAGAAGCCCCGGCUAACUCCGUG
rnacentral:rRNA from 1 species